GGAAAAGGCAACAUGGACAGCGACACCGUACCUGUUGAUAAAUCAACUUCAGCAAAUUUUAAAUCAGGAAGACAGCAUGUGGGGAAACCAGGCUGUGAGAACGGGUGAAAAGAGAAGCACGGCAGUUCACUACCUUCACCCACUUCCCUCUUCCUCUCAACUGCCAGGCCGUCGCCCUCGGUGCUGCCUCUCAAAGGUCUGUCUUUUUUUGAUUUAUAUUAUUAUAACAAUAUCACACUUAGUUUUAGCCAUUGCUGAAGUCCAGUUACUUUUACCUUCACAUUUAACUCUUUUUUUUGCUAAUGUCAGACACUGGGUUAACUUAGGAUAGGAAUAAGUUCACGUCAGCAUCCAAAGCUGGUGAUACUACCACAACAUAUUGUUUUUGUUGUCUUUGUUUUUUUGGGCUGAGUCAGCGUCUUGUCAUCCCAGCAUCUCCACCUCUUCAGUGCAGCAGUUUUCUUUACCUCAGCAUUUCAACAUCUUACAUUAAGUCUCUCAGUUGUGGAAGCACAUCAUCAUCCCUCACUUACUUACUGCCAACACUUCCAUUUAAGGACACCUACGUAGACAUUUUCAUUUAAUGUAAACUCUUACAUAGGCAUGGAUGCACACAAUAAAAGGCUCAGGUGUUUAUAGCAGUAUGCUUUCAGCCUUUUUUGUUCAAUUAACAUUUCUUAUGCCUAAGUCCAUUAGAGACUUUACUGGAUUAGUGGGUUCCCUAACACAUACACAGCCAUAGAAGUAAUGCUGACAUUCCAUUAGUGAUACUGGAUAAAAUUAUUAACGUGUGUAGUGUUAUAACAGAUCAGAUUACAGGCUCUGAAAUGUCUACUUGAUCACUCAAGCUUUAGUUUGAUGUGCAGUCAGCUUCCUGGACAUUAAAAUCUAACAAACCCUGACUGCAGUCCUUUUAGUUUUUUGAAAUCCAUAAAAGUUUUGUGUAAUGUUAAAGUCAAGACCUAAGAGGGUUGGCUAGCACCCAGACAGACUUUUAUGCAGUAAUGUGAACUGUGCAUAGAUUCACAGCCAGGCAGUUAUAGGACAGGGCAUAGACAUUCCUAGAAAGAGCUGAUACAGCUGAUGAAGUGCUACUCAUGUGAUCUCUGGGGAGCUGGCUGCUGUACAUGAGUAAUUCACUGUCUUUUUCCUUUUAACAUAAUGCAUAUACAGUUUUUCAUUUGUUUACAUCAGUAUACAUACACACACACACACACACACACACACAUAUAUAUAUAUAUGUGUGUGUGUGUGUGUGUGUUUAUAAACCUUAUUGAUCAUGGUUUAGGUUAAUGUGCAGGUGGAAACACUGGGUCCAAGAUAUACCCUUGUCACCAUCCCGACAGAAGCGGACCAGUACAAUAUUAGCUCCAUGGCAACGCUGGCCGCCCACACUCCCCUCAGGCUGCGUACAGGGGACAAGAAUGUAUGUGAGUGUGUAUUUAUGUGUGUAUUUAUGUGUGUGUGUGGGGGGGAGCAGAGUAAGAGAGCAGAGGUUGUUAAUUGACCUAUUUUUCAGGCUGUUCAGUUGAAUCGGGAUGAAGGGAGAGACGAUGGGGUUUUUAAUGAUGCCACAUGGGAGCUGUGCUUUGCUUCCACUCCUGACAGGACUUCUACUGUUGCCACUUCCACUGACAUAACUUGGCUACCUGUAACUACUCUGCAUAUUACACUCACAGUCUGGGCCCAGUGCCACUUAUUCGUUUAAUUUCAAGUUCACGCUUUCUUUCUUUCUUUCUUUUUUUUUUUCCUCUCUGACUUUGUUUCUUUGCUUCUCUCUUUCUUUCUGGGUUUCUGUGUCUGUUUUCUGUCAGUGUCACGCCUCAUUAUAUAUGAGGCAGGUCCCAAGUUGUGGUCUCUAGUCCCUUGGAGGAGGAUGCGGAAGAGCUAAAGGUGGAGACAGCCAGCCAGUUAGAGCCAAGGAGCCUUCAGCAGUAUGCCAGCACCGUUGCCAGCAUUCAGGUGGGACUCUGGUAUGUGGUUCAAGACAAAUGAGAUAUUUUUAGCAUCAUAGCCCUUCUCUACAGCUGUCCCCAGACAUCAGGGCUGGGGUUAUUAUUAUAUUAACAUUGUGCAUGAGUGUAUGACCAGUGGCUAGUAUUUGUCAGUGUUUAAAAUUCUGGCUCCUAAUCAGCCAUCAAGGGAGGAAAGGAGGCUGAAAGUGGCCGGUAGCUUCUUUGACUCUGUCCCUCCUUCUCCGCCUCCUCCCCUUCCAUCCGACCCAACACCCUGCCCUCAGUCCCAGUACCCCACAAGCACAGCAAGCUUCUUCGGUUUAAUUUCCUCCGCUCUUUUCUAUCUUGCCUCCCUGCUGCUAGCACUGUACCUUGCUCUGCUUAUCACACACAUGCACUCAUAGACAGACACUGAGAGGUGCACACGUACGAGCACGCACACAAACACACACACACACACACACACACAGGAUUACAUUAGAAUUUCAGAUUCUUUUUAACUCUGCUUUUACCUGACACCCCGCCCCCCAACCACCUUGUCUACCUCCUUCCAUUCGUCCCCAGUCGCAUGCCUGAAAAGUGAUGCUGGUUUCCUUAGCAACCGUCUGUGUCUGUAUCAGAGGGGAGUUUCCUCACACGGACUAGAAAGGAUUCCAAGCUAAGGGGGGAAUCACAAAAAACGCACGCAUGCAUUUGUGAAAGUGUUGAUUAGCAAUCAGCGUGUCCUUCACACUGACUGUUUAUUUUUAAUGAGCUCGGAGAACACUGUUGAUUGGGCAAUUCCAACAGGAACAGGCUUGAGUAUAUUGCAAAUUGGACACUCAAGUCAAAUUGAUUUUGUAGCACGUGAUGUAAUAUGGGAAAAAAUCAUUGUGAAUUCCCAGAGAUUUCAUUAUAUUUUUACAUUGAUUGUCACACUGAAUGGGCUGUGGGUUACGAGUAGUUUUGCUGUGAUUUACUGUACUGUAUUGAUCGGCUGUUCUACAGGAUGACAUAGUUUCUUAGGAUGACGUGCAUUAAGUACACUUUAGAUACUGAAUGAUGUCUCAUAUUUCCUAAUUUAACUAGCUACACAAAGAGAAGGCUAUUUGUGUUGCAUAUAUAAUAUAAUAUGUUUGGUUUUUCUGCAUCUUUGUGUGGAGCUUCUAUGUUCCCUGACAUGUUUGUGUCUGUCUAUGCACUGCUCUGGUGCUCUCACUUUCCAGAGGAAUGUAGGUCAGGUGGACUGGAGACUGUAAAUUGCCUGUUGUUAUGAGUGUGUUUGUGUGUUCAUUGCCUUCCACGAAAUGCAUGUGUGGAUUGAUCCCAGGUCUGUGAGACCUGGAGUGGGAAGGUGUGGGUAUAGACAAUGAACAAUUAAAUGAAUAGAUGGGGAAAUGAACAGAAAAAUGAAUGAAUGGAGCUAAAUUGACCUUUGAACAUUUCUAUCAGUCCUCUGUCCUGUACCAUAGCACAGUCAUUCAGUUUCAUCAUUUUUGCAAGUGUUAUAUUUGUGUACCUUUGAAACACAUCCUUUAUAAAUUAUUGCCCAAAUUCAGACUUUAUCUACUUGUGUUUUGUAUAAAGUAGCAGUUAACAUAUACAUGAGUACUAUAUACUCAAAUGCAUUUCUCUGACUGCAGAACUUUUCUGACAGGAGAAAUAAUCAAUUUCCCGCUUGUGUGUAAACACACUCGAUAACAACUUGGCUAACCAAAAUAACUGAGUGGCAUCUGGCUCGUGAUUAUAUAUUUGCAUUUUCUGAGCCUCCUCCCCGUGCAAACUAUUGACGACAAUCCUAACGCAUUAUCUGUCUCCUCCAUUAGGAGCGAGCCUUCAAUUAGCCAACACAAAGCAGUGUGCUCAAACAUUCUCAGUGUUUGGAGCAGCCUGUGUUUACAUCUUCUCCGUGCCACCCUGUUUGUCUCCCUCCAGCUCAUUUCCCUCCAUCACUCUACUCGCUGCUUUGCUAAAUGAGCUGCACAAAUAUUUUGGUAAUUUCAUAUUUUUACCACCAAAUAGAGCUGUGCCAGAAAACGAUCUAUCCUCACCGUCCUUCUGUAGCUUUAUCCUCUUUUCCUCUGUCAUUUAUUAAGGGUGUAGAGCUGCAGGUAGCUGGGUUUAACCAAGAGGGGGUGCAGUUUGACAACCUCACUUCCUUUGCAGUGACUCCUCAAACUCCUCUUCAUCUCCCCUAAAUGUUCUUUCACACAUGCUGGUGCUGGCAGACGCACACUAACAGCACGCAGACUAUUUAAGCUACACGGUCAGAAUAAUUAAUGCAGGACAUGAUCGCAGACCCAGGAAUGAUUAAUUUCAAGCUGUGACAAAGUGACAUGACUGAUUGUUUUUACCAGGUCGUCGGGCUUUUAACGCUCACAGCCAUUCAGGAAUAGCAUCCAUCACAGUGACCCUCACUCCUGCAGAGAUGUGUGUAGUGUGUGUGUGUGUGUGUGUGUGUGUGUGUGUGUGUGUGUGUGUGUUUGUGUGUUUCUGUCUGCAUGCAUGCAAGCUUUGUGCACGAGUGCAUGUGCAUGGUAUAAAUAUGUCUGUGUGGGUCUAUAAGCAUAUGUUUACUAAUUUAUCAUCUUUGCGGGUGCAGAGCUCAGGGGCCACUGCUCUGACUGCCUCUGUGAGAUGGUGAAAGAUAAUGCAGCAGAGCACCCUAAACCUCCUGAACCUCCCUGAUGUAACCCAUGAGGGAUACAUGCUUACACUUAUAUUUCAUCAUAUCUAUCCACUUUUCCUGAGACAUGGAUGAUGUAAAAACCUGUUCAACCAUUUCUUUUGCUGUCCCUGUUUCCUUUGGUCUCUCUUUAUAGCAACAUCUAACUGUAGUAGGUAAGUUUAAACUCAUUUCCACACAUUUUAGAAAGAUAACUGCUACUGUACAACACAGUAAACGUUAAAAAGGAUGCUGUGAUAUAGCAAAGGCGGCUCAGAAUAAUAAAAACUGUGGAAAAUUGGGAGAUUAAGCAAAUGACCUGCUGAUUGUACUACAUAUCAUCCAGAAUCAUCAAAGUCAUUACAAUUACAUAAGCAAUUAAACUGUGAGCGUGCUGCAAAUGGUGUUUUUACAAUCCAAUUACCACCAGCACAUUUUGGCAUUAAUAAUUUUUUAUCCAACAGAGUAGUGAGUUGGAAGUCUUACCUCAAUAAGCACCUGCUGUUUUUGACUCUCAGUCCCUACCUUGUACCUGCAGAGGGGCCUUAGAUGCCUAGAAAAAGUUUUCCUAAAGAGUUUGAUCAAUUCUAGCUACGGAAUAUAAAUUUUAGCCACAAAUCAAGCAUCUGUUUGUCAUAACCACUGUGUGUUGUUGUCUCGUGUACCAGAAAUGCCAUCUGCCCUGUGCACCAUGCUCCGUGUCGGCGUGUGGCAGGACUUGGCCUGUCACUGUUGACUCCCAGGGGGUUCUGACAAGUAGCCCAGACAGUGGCUGCGCUCUGUUGGAGGUCGUUGCCAUGGAGACGUGGGGUCAGCCAGACCGUGCUCGUCAGUGUUCAGCCCUUCGCUAUCGAUCCUCCUCUCCGCCUCCCACUCAGAGAUGACCUGGCACAGAUGACUUCAGAUUUUGACAGCCACUCUUUGGCGUCCAGCCUUUGUCUGCAAGAUAAAGAGUUUUGUGGUGAACACCUCCCUCACUGACUACACAGCCCAAUAUGUCCUACCUGCUUUAUCUGCCUGGAUGAUGCACUGAGAUAUGCUCCCCUGUUUGUGUAGUGUUGUCUCUUCAGUAGCAUACAAACAGCAGCGUGCAGCAGAUCACUAGGGUGUUUUAUUAGGAGUUUCAGGGCAGCCCAAAGGCAUCCUGGGACUGUGAUGGUCUUCUAGAGGCUAGAGGAGGGAUAGUUUACAGUGUAAAUGUACAAAUUUAUAGAGACUGUGUAUCUAUGGGACUGUCUAGCCUUAUCCUUUCACAACUCUUUGACCAAACAGCCAGACACUACUACCCAAGUUAUUCAACACUAACCUGAGAUAGAUGAAAAAAAAAAAAAACUUUAGUGCUUGUGCAGACACACAUCACAUUUUUUACACUUUAAGAUGCGUGACCAGAAUGAGACAAUGCCAAUCAGCAUUCCCAUCCAUAUGCAACUUCAGCUAUUGCUCUUAAUGUAUGUCUAUCAGAUUCAUGCACCUUUUAUCAGAGGAAAGCAUCACAGAGCUAAGCUACACCCUGAGGUUUUGCACUCUAGCACCCCCUACCUACAACUUCACAUUUUACAGUCAGCACACUACAUGUUUAAACACAUAAUCUUUUUACUCAGCACAGUAGAGUUUCAGUGUACUUUCUGACUUUGAUUCACUGCAACUGUGUACAAAUGUGUGUUGUUCCCCUCUCAGGAGAGGUGUGUUUUCCAGCUGCUCUCUGCCGACCCCCUCAUCUCAUCUGUCUCUGUGCCUCUUUGCGGGGUCAGUCUCCUCCCUGUCACAGCUGCUCUCAGGUGUCCCAGAGACGCUGCCCUGCCUCCUGGCAUUCCACUGCUCUGCGUCAGCCCUGUCCCUAACUGCCCCCUGGGUUGAGCUUACCGCGAUGGGCACCAAGGACACGCUCUCAUCCCUCAAGUUAUGGAUGCAAAUGUGAGCCACACGCCAGGAGAGUGUGUAAGCUGCUGGGUCUGGAGCACGAGGGCGUCUCCUGUAUGGAAAUUGGUCUCUGGCUGUAUCCCAAGUGGAAAGAUAAGUAGAAAACAUUUAAACUGUGGAAGGAUGGCAUCGAUGCUUGUUUACAAGUUUGUUAUUUGAUUUCUUCAAUAGGUGAUUGUUGUUGUUGUGUUUUUUUAACUGAUACGUUCCAACUGCCAAGCCUGCGGUCUUCAUCAAAACUGUUGAAGACUGGCUAGACUGGCAGAGAUCCUAAGUCGCCGAUCACAUGGUAACAUGAAAGUGUAGAGUCUGGUUCAAAUCCUGUGAGGUAUCAGGACCCGGAGCAGCAAGAGCCCUACUGGGGGUCGCGUCCACCCUGGCCCUCUGGUUUAUUGGACGGAAAACUAACUACAUUACAAUUCUACUCUAUUACUCAACUUACCUGACUAACUUAGUUAAUCACUUAAUUUCACACUAACCUACUUAAUUUAUUUACUCUUUUACUCAAUUACAUUACAUGAAUGAAUGGAAAAUGACAUGUAUCAGAAUUGCAUACUUUAUUUGUUGUAUAUUGGACACAAGAAAAAUGUUACAUAGCAAUAAGAAUGUUACUGAAUCACUCCUUCUCCUAAUUUAAGUAGCCUUUAUUCAGUGUACAACUCAAUGCUGUCACAUACAGACACUGUGCAGGUGUGGUCUGCAUGCAUAAACAUAAGCAGUGAGUAAGCUGUAGGUCACAAAUCUUGUAAUCAAAGUAGUUUGAUUCGUCUGGUGAGUCCCACUCUUCCCAAGCUACACUAAUUUUCUUUCUUUUUUUUUUUUCUUUUUUUUUGCAACUUCACAAGAUUUCACCCCACAUUACAUUAUCAUUUUCACAGGACGCUUGCAAG